rnacentral:ribozyme from 13 species
UUGAAGGAAAAAAAAAAAAAAAAAAAAAAAAAAA